rnacentral:rRNA from 1 species
UAGGGAAUCUUCCACAAUGGACGCAAGUCUGAUGGAGCAACGCCGCGUGAGUGAAGAAGGCUUUCGGGUCGUAAAACUCUGUUAUUGAAGAAGAACGUGCGUGACAGUAACUGGUCAUGCAGUGACGGUAUUCAAUCAGAAAGUCACGGCUAACUACGUGCCAGCAGCCGCGGUAAUACGUAGGUGGCAAGCGUUGUCCGGAUUUAUUGGGCGUAAAGCGAGUGCAGGCGGUCUUUUAAGUCUGAUGUGAAAGCCUUCGGCUUAACCGAAGAAGGGCAUCGGAAACUGGGAGACUUGAGUGCAGAA